UCCGUAGGUGCGACUAUGGAUGGUGACAUCUAGUUCGUAGAGUGCCUUGCGCAGUCGUGGAGGAAGCGUGCGGAUUUAGUAGGCCCCGCAAAUAUUAGGUGUGGUUUUGAACUCUCAUCCGUAGGCACUUGAGACUUUGUAGAACGAUAGUCACCGCCUGAACUGAUCGGUAGCAUCAGAGCAUUCUUAUCUGGCGUUGGUUACUAGGAAGAAGACUUGACGUGUAUGAAUUCCUAUUGAUCCGGCGUAGUCGCUUCCCAUCAGUGCAGGAAGACAUCAAGGUCCUAUUGUCUGGCGCAAUGGUCAGGACUUCUCAUCUAUCCAAUGGAGGGCACAUGACGACCUGUGUGGUAGUGACCACUUCCCCAUCUUCCUGUCACUGCCCCAGGGUCAGCCACACGAACGCCUGCACAGAUGGGCUUUGAGCAAGGUGGACUGGGAACUUUCACCUCUGCUGUCACCGCUGAAUCUCCACCACACGGUAACAUCGAUGUGAUAGUUGAGCAGGCGUUGUCUGCCAGGAAGACGACUUUAUAUAUAGGAACUCAUAUUGGUUCGACAAAGUCGUGUCCAUCUACGCAGGAAGACAUCAUGGUCACUUACGUCUGACAAAUGGAGUUAUCUGCCAGGAAGGAGACUUGACAUAUAUGAAUUGAGAGUGGUUCGGCAUGGGCACUUCCAAGCUGUACAGGAAGAAAUCAGGGUGACUGUCUGGCGCAAUGGUGUAGUUGGAAGGACUUCAUAAACAAUGUCUUUCAAGAACCCCACAAGAGGCGUCAAGUCUGGCGAACGAGCCGGCCACGACACAUCUCCUCCGCGCCCAAUCCAACGACUUGGGAAUUCUCUCUGCAACUCCUUUCUGUCCACCAGUGAAAAAAUGUCGGACACUCAUCGUGUUGCUGCCACAUUCUGUUCCUCGUUCCUAAAGAUUUCUCUGCCAGGAAGGAGACUUGACGUCUAUGAAUUUACAAUGGAUCGGCCUGGGCACUUCCAAGCUGUACAGGAAGACAUCAGGGUGACUGUCUGGUGCAAAGGAGCUGUACCAGAUAGCCUGGCGUCACCACCACAAAGAUGGUACCAUCAUUACAUGUCGGACGUCGUAGGCUGGGCAUACUGGUAAACCAGGACAGGCCGCGAACUGUGGCAGAACUGACAUCAGACUUUAAUGCUGGUCAGAGUACACGUGUCUGAACACAGUGCACUGAAAACUCCUGAUGACACAUGCAUGUGCCUGCCAGAUGAAUAUAAAGAUGUAAUUUUCCUAUCAGAAUUAUUAAAUAUAGAUUAAGAGGAC